GCGAGUGAAGCGGGAAGAGCUCAAAUUUGUAAUCUGGCGUCUUUCAGGCGUCCGAGUUGUAAUCUAUAGAAGUGUUUUCCGUGCUGGACCAUGUCCAAGUCCCUUGGAACAGGGUAUCAAAGAGGGUGACAAUCCCGUACUUGAUAUGGCUACCAGUGCUCUGUGAUACACUUUCUACGAGUCGAGUUGUUUGGGAAUGCAGCUCAAAAUGGGUGGUAAAUUCCAUCUAAAGCUAAAUAUUGGCGAGAGACCGAUAGCGAACAAGUACCGUGAGGGAAAGAUGAAAAGCACUUUGGAAAGAGAGUUAAACAGUACGUGAAAUUGUUGAAAGGGAAACGAUUGAAGUCAGUCGUGUUCAUUGGACUCAGCCGGUUUUCGGUGUAUUUCCUUUGAACGGGUCAACAUCAGUUUUGUCCGGUGGAUAAAGGCAGGAAGAAAGUGGCUUGCUUGCAAGUGUUAUAGCUUUCUGUCACAUACACUGGGGGAGACUGAGGACUGCAGCUCGCCUUUUGGCCGGGGUUCGCCCACGUUCGAGCUUAGGAUGUUGACAUAAUGGCUUUAAACGACCC
rnacentral:rRNA from 1 species